CCCGCUGAACUUAAGCAUAUCAAUAAGCGGAGGAAAAGAAACUAACAAGGAUUCCCCUAGUAACGGCGAGUGAAGCGGGAAGAGCUCAAAUUUUGAAUCUGGCGGUCUCCGGCCGUCCGAGUUGUAAUCUAGAGAAGCGUCAUCCGUGCCGGACCGCAUGUAAGUCCCCUGGAACGGGGCGUCAUAGAGGGUGAGAAUCCCGUCUUUAAUGCGGAUCCCGACGCUGUACGAUGCGCUCUCAAAGAGUCGAGUUGUUUGGGAAUGCAGCUCAAAACGGGUGGUAAAUUCCAUCUAAAGCUAAAUACAGGCGAGAGACCGAUAGCGAACAAGUACCGUGAGGGAAAGAUGAAAAGAACUUUGGAAAGAGAGUUAAACAGUACGUGAAAUUGCUGAAAGGGAAACGCUUGAUGUCAGUCGCGUCGUCCGGGGAUCAGCCUUGCUCUUUUGCUCGGUGUAUUUCCUGGUCGACGGGUCAGCAUCGGUUUCGACCGUCGGAAAAUGGCUCGAGGAAUGUGGCACCCUUCGGGGUGUGUUAUAGACUCGGGUCGAAUACGGCGAUUGGGACCGAGGAACUCAGCACGACCUUAGGGUUCGGGGCUUCGGCCCACGUCAACGUGCUUAGGAUGCUGGCAUAAUGGCCUUAAGCGACCCGUCUUGAAACACGG
rnacentral:rRNA from 1 species